ACUCAAUACCUGAGGAAGAUGAUGCGUUUGAGGAUGAAGAAGAGGAAGCUGAGCAGCAAAGACAGAAGAUGCAGGGAGGAGAGCAGGCAAACACACCUGGAGGAGAGAGCAGUGCAGGACGCAGCCAUGGUGUUGUGGAAAAGUCAGUCUUCAAAGUCACCUGUGGGGCCAUCAAUGGAACGCUACAUAAGGAUCGGUUUGCAUCUGCACGAUCAGGAUAACGAUGACGACUGCUUCAUCUGUAGAAGCCAGGGCAGCUUGAUAUGCUGUGAUGAGUGUCCUCGCUCCUUCCAUCAGAGAUGUCAUCUUCCUAAUGUGGAUGAUGCCAUGAUGGGGGAUAAUAGUCAGUGGAUGUGUACAUAG
rnacentral:lncRNA from 8 species